UUGAAAGACCAGUUCCCGUACGAUCAUCGAAGUUAAGCAACGUCGAGCCUGAUCAGUACCUAGAUGGGUGACCGCUUGGGGAAUACCAGGUACAGU
rnacentral:rRNA from 1 species